GACGAACGCUGGCGGCGUGCUUAACACAUGCAAGUCGAACGGAAAGGCCCUGCUUUUGUGGGGUGCUCGAGUGGCGAACGGGUGAGUAACACGUGAGUAACCUGCCCUUGACUUUGGGAUAACUUCAGGAAACUGGGGCUAAUACCGGAUAGGAGCUCCUGCUGCAUGGGGGGGUUGGAAAGGUUCGGCGGUUGGGGAUGGACUCGCGGCUUAUCAGCUUGUUGGUGGGGUAGUGGCUUACCAAGGCUUUGACGGGUAGCCGGCCUGAGAGGGUGACCGGCCACAUUGGGACUGAGAUACGGCCCAGACUCCUACGGGAGGCAGCAGUGGGGAAUAUUGCACAAUGGGCGGAAGCCUGAUGCAGCAACGCCGCGUGCGGGAUGACGGCCUUCGGGUUGUAAACCGCUUUCGCCUGUGACGAAGCGUGAGUGACGGUAAUGGGUAAAGAAGCACCGGCUAACUACGUG
rnacentral:rRNA from 1 species